GGCCGGCUGGCCUAAUGGUUAAGGCGUCAGUUUCCGGUCCUACUAUGGGUAGGGGAACAAGCUGAAGAUUCUGGGUUCGACUCCCAGGUUGGUCG